UACGUAGGUGGCAAGCGUUGUCCGGAUUUACUGGGCGUAAAGGGCGUGCAGGCGGUUUGUUAAGUGCAGGGUGAAAGCUCCCGGCUCAACUGGGAGAGGUCCUUGCAUACUGGCAAACUCGAGGGAGGCAGAGGAAAGUGGAAUUCCCGGUGUAGUGGUGAUAUGCGUAGAUAUCUGGAGGAACACCGGUGGCGAAGGCGGCAUCCUGGACCGGCAUUGACGCUGAGGCGCGAAAGCCAGGGGAGCAAACGGG
rnacentral:rRNA from 1 species